UACGUAGGGUGCGAGCGUUGUCCGGAAUUAUUGGGCGUAAAGAGCUUGUAGGCGGUCUGUCGCGUCUGCUGUGAAAAUCCGGGGCUCAACCCCGGACUUGCAGUGGGUACGGGCAGACUAGAGUGGUGGUAGGGGAGACUGGAAUUCCUGGUGUAGCGGUGAAAUGCGCAGAUAUCAGGAGGAACACCGAUGGCGAAGGCAGGUCUCUGGGCCACUACUGACGCUGAGAAGCGAAAGCAUGGGAGCGAACAGG
rnacentral:rRNA from 1 species